CUUUGAUGCCUCUGUGUAUCUUUCCUUAACAGCCUGUCGGGGAGAAAAAGACGAUAUAGGAACAUCAUCCCCAGUGCACAAUUCCUCGCUACUUUCACGUCCAAUGCUGUCGGAGAGUGGACGGGUUUCCGUGCACAGUUCAACCCAAGGACUUCCUCUUGCCACCAAGUCCUCUCCGCCAGCCCCGGGGGAGUCAUCACGUCGCCGAGGUUCCCCCGCAGGCACCCGAGUAAGAAGUACUGUGAAUGGAAAAUCAUGGCGUCAGUUGGCAAUAAAGUUCAGUUGACCUUCACCCACAUGCGCCUGGGAACCUACGCUCAGAACUUCGUGGCUGUGAACCCCAACCACCGACCUUUACUACACCUCUGGCUCUGUCUUCUCCUUCAGUGGCUUCGCACUCCCGCCGAACGUCAUUUCGGACUCGAACUUCAUCAGGAUCUUCUUCUCCGGCAAGAGGAGGAGCAGGGGCUUCAAGGCUGAUGUAUAGUGAGGUUUAGAGAAAGGGGGAAGGAGGAGAAGAGGAAGGGGGGGAAAGAGAGUGGAAGGAGGAGAGGGAGGAAGAAAUGAGGGUGGGGGAAGGAGAAGAGGGACGGGGGGAACUAAGGAGAGGGGAGAGAACAGAAGGGGAAUAAUGACAGACUAAAAACUUUAGAGCAGAAGAGGGGACUGGAAGAAAACUAGGGAGAAAUAAGGGAAAAGGAGAAAAAAAAAAACAAAGGAAAAGGGGAGUGAAAGAGUGAAGGAGGCGAAGGCAAAAUGAGAAGAGAAGAGGACGGAAAAUUUAUUCUAAGUGAAAGGCUAAUGUUUCUUAUUGGUUCGAUAGUUACAUCAAUUGGGUUUGAAAUUUCGAGGUGAUGGCCGCCUUUCCCCAGGUUUCGAGACUAAUUAUGCUCACACAGUUGUACACACACAGUUAAAGUUGCUUCGGGAAAUGCAAGGUAUUUAUCUGAUGAAUUAGUACAGAUGUAUUUUAUCUAAAUUAAUCAUAUUGAA